GUCUACGGCCAUGCGACUCUGAAUAAGCCCAAUCUUAUCUGAUCUCAGAAGCUAAUCAGUGUCGGUCCUGGUUACUACUUGGUUGGGAGACCACCUAGGAAGACCAGGUGCUGUAGGCA
rnacentral:rRNA from 1 species